AAGAAGCCAUGAGGCUCUCUUGUGACUUAAGAAGUGAAAGUGCAUGUCAAAAUAUUUAAAUCUAUACACACACACCAAUCAAUUUAGGUGCAGAACUAUAAAAAGAGAAUAUAGCAUUGUAGUUGAAGCCAGAAGUUAGAACAUCAAGUUAGAAUAGUUAUAGAAAAAAAUUUGAUACUUAAGGUUUCAUUUAGAUACACUUUAUUUAUUUAUUUAUUUUAAGAAGAAAUAAUAAUACAUUCCAUAUAAAAUAUAAGAACUCUUAUACAAAAAGUAUGAACUUACUAUAUGUUCUUUAAAAUUUUAAAAUUUAAGAUAGUAAAAAAAUUUUAAUACCUCAAUUUUUUAUAAACUAUUAUCCUUUUGAGGUAAGUCUUUUAAAAAAUUUACAUUUUAUAUAGGAGUUACUAUUAUUUUUUAAACAAUUGCACAUGAAUUUAUUGAUUAUUUAAGAAAUGAAAGGUUCAAGUGAUUGUGUUUUGGUGAAAUUUUUUGAAGGCCCAAGUUGUGCAACAACUACAAAAUGCUUGUCAGAAAGUUUACAUAUGUAUGUACGAAUACAUGUGUAUAUGUAAUAAAAUCCAAAGGUAGAGAGCGAGGAGUCUAGUAUUGUGGUUAAAAAAUUAAUUUAGAAUAGCAUAAGAGCUAAUCUUGCAUCUAACUUGAUUAUUUAGAAUAAUUGAAGCAAGAAAUUUGAUUAUUAAGUUCAUUGAAUAAUCGUGUUAGCAUUGAUAAAAGAUGUCUUACAAGUUGAAAUAGUUCUAGAAUUGGGGGUGUCUCAUGGAACCAUAAUUUAGCAAGCUGGGAAAUUCAAUAAAAUCUUAUUUGACUUUUAUUUUCCAAGUUAGAGUUUGAGGGAGAGGCCUAAGUUAUUAUCACAUGUUUGAAGGUAUAUCAUUCUUGAAUUUUAAAAAUUGUUUGGGAUUUAAUAUAGAUUUAGACUAUUAUGGGACAUUGGAUGGGAAAUAUUUACCUAUUAUAGACAAUAUUCUCCUUUUCUUUUUGGUUUGUAGAUUGUGAUGUUUAAUUGGAUAAGAAAAUUGAAGUCUUGUUGAAACCUAAAGAGUGAAGGAUACUUGUAUUGGAUUGGGAAUUAAUUUAGCUAGUAUCAAUUUAUCUAGUCUAAAAUAAAAGAAAAAAAGGAAAUUUCUUUUUUUUUGGAUUUGGGUCUGAGAAUUAAUUUCUUGAUGGUGUAGACAUCAUUAAAGGGACGAAAGUGAUAUAAGAAUUGUCAAAUCUUCAUUCUUUUAUCAUCUUUGAUUUUGUUGACAAAAAACAUAAAGCAUCUAGAAAAAAAAAUAGUUUAUAUGGUCAUGUAAUGUCGGGCUUAGGGAUUGACUCUAAUACCUUUUGUAACUAUUUAUUCCCUCCCAUAUAGAUAUUAUUCACUUUGUUCCUAAUGAGCUCUCACACUUUUCAAAGUCAUCCACUUAUUUAAGAGAAAUCCAUUAUAAAGAUAUUAGGACUAUUUUCCCUUAUCUAAUAUGAGAUAUUACAGGUUAUGAUAAUAUUUUUCCUUUUGUCAAAAGUCAAAGGUAGACAUCCAUUUGAAGUUCUACACCAAGAUUCUAAUUAGAGAGUCUCAUUUAUGCAUAGAAGAACCAGGCAAGACUUGAGGUGGUUUAUAAUAUUUAUCAAUAUUGUUGCCAAAAUGUAACCAAGAAUUAGCACUAAAUAAAUAACUACCACUUAUAGAGAACACAAGGAUAAUUAUCCUAUGAUUUUCCCUCCUAUCCAAAUGAAUUUAUGUCCUAAUUCUAUUUUAACUUUCAUCAUUCUAGUUUUUAUCUUUCCUACCCAAUAUGAGACUUUAUGUUUGCUGAAUGCCCAGAACUAUAAAGAGGAAGAUUCUAAGGAAUUGGAUUCUAAUGAUUGAGAUUGUGGGGAAGAGGAUUUUGAAGGAGACAAAUUUUAUAAUCCAUGUAUGCUCGACUUCUCUUUUGAGGAGAUGCAUAGAUUAACAUCCUUAGUAAAGAGGCACCUACUAAUGAUGUUUCCUUUGUUUGAAUCGAACUUGGAAGGUUAUUUAUCUCUAAGUUGGAUAUCUUUAGUAUGUUUUAUUCAAAAGAUUGAACUCUAUAAGUUGCUACAAUUCAAUUAUCUAUGAUCUAAAAUGUGAGUGAAUUUAAGAUUUUGUGCACCUUAUAUUUUAUUAGUAUUAUUUUUGCUUAUGUGAACUGAUAUUAAAUACAAACUUUUUUGUUGAGGGUCA